UGAACUGUUUCUUCUUUGUCGUAGUAUAUCAAACAAUGUUCUGAACGAGUGAUCUUCUUCAAUGUCGAAUAAUGAUGCUUUCAUCUGCAGUCUCCAAUGCUGGAGGAUUCUCCUCUCUUUGCCUUUUGCAGGAUUAUUACCAAGCCAUCAUCCAUUCAACCAGACGGCUCCAAAGAUUUACCUUAAAUGAAUUGGGUCAGGACGAAAGUAAGGUUUCACCAUCCGAUUUUGUGACUCGGAUUCUCAGGAGAUGUGUUUGAACUCUAUGUAUGGUUUUGCUUCAUUUUUGUGUAUGUUUGGCUCCCAGCACGCUAGAGUUGAUACUUGCAGAGUUCAGCUAUCCAAGGGUGUCUGUUCUAUUACAAGGGCAAUUCUGAGGUUAGGUCGAAUUCGCUUAUUUUAUCUGAAAUUGAGCUUUAUACACUAAACAGGAUCGAGUAAGUUCCAGUUCUGAGGUUAGCUCCAUUUUGCUCUGUUUUGUGUCUAGUCUUGUUUAUUCGCUUUUCUUGCUUCAAGAGCGAUCAAAAUUGUUCGAUGUAAGUUCGUGUUGCUUUUAGCAAAACUGUUGUUAUAAGGGCAACGAGUAUAUUCGAACUUAUAAAGUUUUCAUAAUUGAUUGCUUAAUAAGUGUCGGGAGCACUCACGUUUGCCCCGUAAA